rnacentral:misc_RNA from 1 species
GUAGGUGAACCUGCGGAAGGAUCAUUAAAAAUGUGGACCCUCACCUGGGCCAGCCUUGUAAUGGGCUCUAAACACGUAAUGCCGGAAUUUCGAAAAGAGGGGGUCCUUUGAACGCGUAACAGGACAUGCCACCGGAGUACCACACGGGCCUUCCAUACCCCUAGCGUGCUCCUGUGAAGUCGUCCUGGUACGUGCAUUCAUUCAUCGCGUAAAGCUCUCGGAAGGAACCCUUAGUCUAGCCACCAAGGCC